rnacentral:rRNA from 1 species
UACGUAGGGGGCAAGCGUUGUCCGGAUUUAUUGGGCGUAAAGCGCGUGUAGGCGGCCAGGUAGGUCCGCUGUGAAAACCCGAGGCUCAACCUCGGGACGUCGGCGGAAACCGUAUGGCUAGAGUCCGGAAGAGGAGAGUGGAAUUCCUGGUGUAGCGGUGAAAUGCGCAGAUAUCAGGAAGAACACCGGCGGCGAAGGCGGCACUCUGGGCCGGUACUGACGCUGAGGAGCGAAAGCGUGGGGAGCAAACAGG